CUGGUAUAGUAUUAGCAGAAAUGUUGUGUGUUCUUGGAUUCGUUUUCCCUUCUAAGAGUGAGAAGGCAACGGCAUGGUAAAGAUCGUCCAAUGUAACCGAGAUUCGGAGUUUUCUUGGAUUCGCUGGCCAUUAUCGACAUUUUAUACAAGGUUUUUCUUUUAUUGCAAAGCAUAUGAUUAGACCUACUGAGAAGUGUGUUCCAUUUGUAUGGACUGAUGAAUGUGAGAUAAAUUUCCAAACUUUGAAGAAUAAGUCAGUGAACGCUCGUUUUCUGGCUUUGCCCGAGAGUGGCAAGCGUUUCGCAGUCUACACCGAUAUUGUCCGAAUUGGACUUGACUGUGUGCUUAUGCAAGGAGGUCAAAUAAUUGCAUAUACUUCCAGACAAUUGAAAACUCAUGAACAAAAUUAUCCCACUCAUGACCUAGAAUGGGCUGUAGUGGUUUUUGCCUUGAAGAGUUGGAGGCAUUACCUGUAUGGUGAGUCAUGCGAUAUUUUCACUGAUCAUAAGAGUCUCAAGUAUAUUUUCACUCAGAGAGAUCACUACUUGGUCCGGAUUUGGUUCAGCAAACAUCAGAAAAGGUGCACCAAAUACGUCAAAACCUGUUGGCUGCUCAAAGUCGACAGAAGAGCUAUGCAGAUAUCCGGAGAUGAGACCUAGAAUUUAUAGUUGGUGACUAUGUUCUUCUCAGAGUGUCGCCAACCAAAGGUGUUGUACGUUUUGGUAUCUCUGGAAAGCUUAACCCGAGGUACAUUGGCCCAUUUCUAAUCACAGCCCGAGUAGGCAGUUUGGCGUACCGUCUUGAUUUACCAGACUCAAUGAGUGGAGUACAUAAGGUCUUCCAUGUUUCUAUGCUAAGGAAAUAUUUCAGAGACCCUGAGCAUAAAAUUGAUGUUGAAUCGAUCACGAUAGAGAAAGAUCUGACCGUAAAGUGCCACCCGAUACGUAUUUUGGGCUCCUCAGAGGGAGUUAUGAGGAGGAGGAUUAUCAAGUUUGUGAGAGUCCUUUGGACAACUCAAACAUAACGAGAAGCAACUUGGGAACUUGAAGAACAAAUGCGCAAAAAGUAUCCUGAGCUCUUUGAGACUGGUGAGUCAUAAGUUUUGAAAUAUUUUUACCUCUGUUCCAUAGUUGCCAUGGAAGCGGCAGAAUUCGGGGACGAAUUCCUUUAACGGGGGGAGAAUGUAAUACCGAAUUUUUGGAGGAAAAAAAAGAGAGGAAUUUGACCGCAUUUUUGACUUUUGAUCCGAGGCUCGUAUGGACGAUCGGAGACCGUGGUUGCGUUCAUCUCGUCGAGACGAACCCAUUUUGCUAUUCAUAUGUCCGUUCCGGGCACUUUGAGACCCGUAGCGAGCCCAAUAAAUUUAGACCGUUCGUUGUUUAAAAAAUAAAAAAUAAAAAAAAAGAGAGAAGAGAUAAAGCUCCGGUCGUCACUCGAUCCAUCCAGAGGUUUCGAGCGCUCGCGUCUCUUUUUUCUUCUCUCUCUCUCUCAGUGUGUCGCGCGCCCAAGCUCAUCGUUGUGCUCUGCGCCGAGCUCCCGCCGCCGCCUUGCCGCUGCUCGCCGCGCCGCUGCGCCGCGCCACCACCUGCCGUGCGCCGUCGUCGCGCUGGGCCGGCUCUGCGCCGUCGCGCCAGGCUGUGCGUCCUGCCGCCUCUGCGCUGAGCUGCUGCUGCCGCCGGUGCUGCGCGCUGCCGUGCCUCUGUGCUAAUCGCUGUGUGAAGGAGCAGCAGCAGCCGCCAGCCAGCCGGCCGAAGUAGCCAGCUGACCGAUCGAAGAAGCAAGCAGCCAGCGCAGGAAGAAGCCAGGAAAAAGAAAAGGGAAGAAAAAAAAAGAGAAAAGAAAAAAAAGGGGGAAAGUUGGAAAUUUCGGAAUUUCGUCGGAUUCGUCGUCAAUCUUUCGAAGGCGAUUUCUCGGUAUGUUUAGAUGUUGACGUGCAUUUUGGGGAUGGAUCUUGGUAGCUGCACACACUACCUCAUCACCAUGUUGAUAGCUCAACCGGUGUUAUAAAUGGUGUUUUUGGUGGUCUGUCGUUUGCUUGGUUCAUGUUGUGGUAGACGCUGGUAGCGUCAUAACGGUUUCUAUAUAGGCUGGUUAUAUCUGAUUC